CCUAACACAUGCAAGUCGAACGGUAACAGGAAGCAGCUUGCUGCUUCGCUGACGAGUGGCGGACGGGUGAGUAAUGUCUGGGAAGCUGCCUGAUGGAGGGGGAUAACUACUGGAAACGGUAGCUAAUACCGCAUAACGUCGCAAGACCAAAGAGGGGGACCUUCGGGCCUCUUGCCAUCGGAUGUGCCCAGAUGGGAUUAGCUUGUUGGUGGGGUAACGGCUCACCAAGGCGACGAUCCCUAGCUGGUCUGAGAGGAUGACCAGCCACACUGGAACUGAGACACGGUCCAGACUCCUACGGGAGGCAGCAGUGGGGAAUAUUGCACAAUGGGCGCAAGCCUGAUGCAGCCAUGCCGCGUGUAUGAAGAAGGCCUUCGGGUUGUAAAUACU
rnacentral:rRNA from 1 species